rnacentral:rRNA from 1 species
AUGAACGCUGGCGGCGUGCCUAAUACAUGCAAGUCGAGCGAACGGACGAGAAGCUUGCUUCUCUGAUGUUAGCGGCGGACGGGUGAGUAACACGUGGAUAACCUACCUAUAAGACUGGGAUAACUUCGGGAAACCGGAGCUAAUACCGGAUAAUAUUUUGAACCGCAUGGUUCAAAAGUAAAAGACGGUCUUGCUGUCACUUAUAGAUGGAUCCGCGCUGCAUUAGCUAGUUGGUAAGGUAACGGCUUACCAAGGCAACGAUGCAUAGCCGACCUGAGAGGGUGAUCGGCCACACUGGAACUGAGACACGGUCCAGACUCCUACGGGAGGCAGCAGUAGGGAAUCUUCCGCAAUGGGCGAAAGCCUGACGGAGCAACGCCGCGUGAGUGAUGAAGGUCUUCGGAUCGUAAAACUCUGUUAUUAGGGAAGAACAUAUGUGUAAGUAACCGUGCACAUCUUGACGGUACCUAAUCAGAAAGCCACGGCUAACUACGUG